AACGAACGCUGGCGGCAUGCCUAACACAUGCAAGUCGAACGAGACCUUCGGGUCUAGUGGCGCACGGGUGCGUAACGCGUGGGAACCUGCCCUUAGGUUCGGAAUAACUCCCCGAAAGGGGUGCUAAUACCGGAUAAUGUCUUCGGACCAAAGAUUUAUCGCCUUUGGAUGGGCCCGCGUUGGAUUAGCUAGUUGGUAGGGUAAAAGCCUACCAAGGCGACGAUCCAUAGCUGGUCUGAGAGGAUGAUCAGCCACACUGGGACUGAGACACGGCCCAGACUCCUACGGGAGGCAGCAGUGGGGAAUAUUGGACAAGGGGCGAAAGCCUGAUCCAGCAAUGCCGCGUGAGUGAGGAAGGCCUUAGGGUUGUAAAGCUCUUUUACCCGAGAUGAUAAUGACAGUACCGGGAGAAUAAGCUCCGGCUAACUCCGUG
rnacentral:rRNA from 1 species